GACAGUGAAGUGCGGGUGUGCGCCUCACUCUCAGAUGCAAAAACCCUAACAUUAUUCUUCUCUAGUUCUCUGUUCCAUAUUCCAGAAACCGGUGAGAGGCUGAGGCUGAGAGCAAUAGCCAAUAGAGCAUCGAGCUUCUUGCCUUCCUCUUCUCCAAGUCUCCAACACCUACUCACCGGCUGUCGUCAUUCUUGCCUUCGUCCUCCGUCCGAGAGCAGCUGAGCAGCGCUUCGCCGCCAACGUCCUCUGUCCGGGCGCAGAACCAAGGCUUCGUCCUCUGUCCUCUGUCCUUCGUCCUCUGUCCUCUGUCCUUCGUCGAUGUGAGUUUGUCACCGUACCUCCGUCCGAGAGCAGCUGAGCAGAGCUUCGCCUCCGUCAUCCUCCGUUCGAGCGAAGAACUUAACCGACGUCCUCCGUCCUUCGUCGCCGUGAGUCUGUCGCCGUUGUUGUGAGUCCGUCGCCGUACCCUGUUUAAAUCUUGAUUUGCAAACUUUUAAUGAUGAUGAAGAUGUUGAAAGUGAUCAAGAAUAAGGAUUGAAGAUUCCUUUAUAUCUAAUUUGUAAUUUUUUUUAUUAUGGUGUUAAAUUUGUAGUGAUCUUAUACUAGCUUUUUUUUUUAAUUUCAAGUUAUUUGAGCUAAUGACAUUGUAUGAAUUUUAUGUUUGUAUUUUAAUUUAUCUAUGAAUUUUAAGUUUUUUGUCUUAA